ACGAAGAAAGUGACGGUACCUGAGGAAUAAGCCACGGCUAACUACGUGCCAGCAGCCGCGGUAAUACGUAGGUGGCAAGCGUUAUCCGGAAUGAUUGGGCGUAAAGGGUGCGCAGGCGGUCCUGCAAGUCUGGAGUGAAACGCAUGAGCUCAACUCAUGCAUGGCUUUGGAAACUGGAGGACUGGAGAGCAGGAGAGGGCGGUGGAACUCCAUGUGUAGCGGUAAAAUGCGUAGAUAUAUGGAAGAACACCAGUGGCGAAGGCGGCCGCCUGGCCUGUUGCUGACGCUGAGGCACGAAAGCGUGGGGAGCAAAUAGGAUUAGAUACCCUAGUAGUCCACGCCGUAAACGAUGAGGACCAAGUGUUGGGGGUGAAACCUCAGUGCUGAAGUUAACGCAGUGAGUCCUCCGCCUGGGGAGUAUGCACGCAAGUGUG
rnacentral:rRNA from 1 species